GAUGAACGCUGGCGGCGUGCCUAAUACAUGCAAGUCGAGCGAAAAGAUGCGGUGCUUGCUCCUCUGACGUUAGCGGCGGACGGGUGAGUAACGCGUGGAUAACCUACCUAUAAGACUGGGAUAACUUCGGGAAACCGGAGCUAAUACCGGAUAAUAUAUUGAACCGCAUGGUUCAAUAGUGAAAGACGGUUUUGCUGUCACUUAUAGAUGGUUCCGCGCCGCAUUAGCUAGUUGGUAAGGUAACGGCUUACCAAGGCAACGAUGCGUAGCCGACCUGAGAGGGUGAUCGGCCACACUGGAACUGAGACACGGUCCAGACUCCUACGGGAGGCAGCAGUAGGGAAUCUUCCGCAAUGGGCGAAAGCCUGACGGAGCAACGCCGCGUGAGGGAUGAAGGUCUUCGGAUCGUAAAACUCUGUUAUUAGGGAAGAACAAAUUUGGAAGUAACUAUGCACGUCUUGACGGUACCGAAACAGAAAGCCACGGCUAACUACGUG
rnacentral:rRNA from 1 species